rnacentral:rRNA from 1 species
UACGGAGGAUACGAGCGUUAUCCGGAUUUAUUGGGUUUAAAGGGUGCGUAGGCGGCUUUUUAAGUCAGCGGUGAAGUUUUGCAGCUUAACUGUAAAAGUGCCUUCGAAACUGGUUUCCUUGAGUGUAGAUGAAGUAGGCGGAAUUUGUGGUGUAGCGGUGAAAUGCAUAGAUAUCACGAGGAACUCCGAUUGCGCAGGCAGCUUACUAAACUACUACUGACGCUCAGGCACGAAGGCGUGGGGAUCAAACAGGAUUAGAUACCCCUGUAGUCCCU